CCUACGGGUGGCAGCAGUCGAGAAUCAUUCACAAUGGGGGAAACCCUGAUGCUGCGACGCCGCGUGGGGGAAUGAAGGUCUUCGGAUUGUAAACCCCUGUCAUGUGGGAGCAAAUUAAAAAGAUAGUACCACAAGAGGAAGCGACGGCUAACUCUGUGCCAGCAGCCGCGGUAAUACAGAGGUCUCAAGCGUUGUUCGGAAUCACUGGGCGUAAAGCGUGCGUAGGCUGUUUCGUAAGUCGGGUGUGAAAGGCGCGGGCUCAACCCGCGGACGGCACAUGAUACUGCGAGGCUAGAGUGAUGGAGGGGGAAGCGGAAUUCGUGGUGUAGCAGUGAAAUGCGUAGAUAUCGAGAGGAACACUCGUGGCGAAGGCGGGUUGCUGGACAUUAACUGACGCUGAGGCACGAAGGCCAGGGGAGCGAAAGGGAUUAGAUACCCGAGUAGUC
rnacentral:rRNA from 1 species